rnacentral:sRNA from 1 species
UAAUUGCGUUAGGGAUGGGAGCGGUAUCCUUUUGUUUUUUCCUUUAAAAAACAAAAGAUUAAGCGGACAGCCCGACCUGAA